rnacentral:lncRNA from 1 species
UGAGAAUUAGGAAGUCUAAGGGUGGUUUUAUGAAGAAUCUGUACAGACUAAGGACCCCACGAGGACAAUAGCUUGAAAGUCUAAAUAAGUUGAAUGUGUCUGGAUGCAUCAGCUUAGCUAUGAGCAAGCAUGGGAGUUGAAUGUGUUUGAAAGUCUUUCAGUUGUCUCAGUACUAACAGCCUGUGUCUUCUAGGCCCACCCGGGCUGCCAGCUGCAUGGAGCAGAGUGGAACUCAACCCCUUGAGGUCUCUGUUCCUUCCAGAUCCUAGCCCCGUCUCUGCAAAGGCUUGCUCUUCAAGUGUUUUGUCAUCCUUAAGGCUCAGUAGAUGGCUUUAAUGUUUAUUGCUCACUAGUGAUAUGUGGCUGGCUUUGAGCAGCCAAAGUCUAACUGCUUGUGUGACUCUGCACAUCCCUACCAAAGGAAAGUGUAAAUUAACUAAAGGCUUGAUUAAUUCUCCUUCCCUCCCAUGCUGCCUUUUUUAGUGGCCUGGCCCCUAUCCAAGUCCUGGGGGGCAGCUGACUGCCAAAGCCAGAUCCCCAGGUACUAAAGAAUGUGAGACAAAUUCAGUGUCCAAAUUAUUUCAUUGUAAAAGUAAGUCAGAAACAGGCUUCUGGGGCUGAUUGACAUGUUGUCAUUUGAACUUGACCAGUACUGAAAGUUCUUGUUGUGCACGGUGACCAGUGCUCACCUCUGAAACCACACAGACAUUUAUCUCUCAGAUGGGAGAUUUACCCCAAAAUAUUGAACUGAUCUUUUUUGUUUUGUUUUGUUUUGUUUUUUAAGCAAUAAAAGUGAAAUAUCUUUGAAGUAACAGGACAACAAAUGCAAUCACACAGCUCCACAUGAAGAACAAAGUAGAAACACCACUCUGCCUGGAUGCCUAAUAACUCCCCCCAAAGCCUGUGUGCAGCUUGGCAGGAGAGUAUGUACAAAGCCACUGUGAGGUCCUGGCCUUAGUCCUCAUCUUAAAGGAUACCAUCUCCAGAAAAAAACCAGUCUCCUGAAACCUGAAGUCUCAGCCGGUCUUGAGAGCCUGACCCUGAAGCUUGGGUACUUCCCUCACCAGCUCCAACUAGCCACUGCUUAAAGUUUGGCUUUUUACAUUCAGCAAGCCAGUAUGUAUAUUUUAGCACAGUACCCCUGAAGCUAAGGCUGCAAUGCAUUUCACAUUUUUCUAAGCUAAAGCAAUAAUCCAUUUCAUGUUUUUCUAAGCUAAAGCAGUAAUCCAUUUCACGUUUUUUCUGUAUGCAUCAAAACCACUUAGCAGAACGGUGAAG